rnacentral:rRNA from 1 species
UACGAAGGGGGCUAGCGUUAUUCGGAAUCACUGGGCGUAAAGGGUGUGUAGGCGGCUUUUCAAGUUUGUUGUUAAAUCUCCCCAGCCUAACUGGGAAUGUGCAACGAAUACUGAUUUGAUAGAGGGUGGAAGAGAGAAGUGGAAUUCUUGGAGUAGCGGUAAAAUGCGUAGAUAUCAAGAGGAACACCGAUGGCGAAGGCAGCUUCUUGGUCCACACCUGACGCUGAAACACGAAAGCGUGGGGAGCAAACAGG